rnacentral:rRNA from 1 species
UAGGGAAUAUUGGGCAAUGGAGGGAACUCUGACCCAGCCAUGCCGCGUGCAGGAUGAAGGCGUUAUGCGUUGUAAACUGCUUUUUAUAUAGGAAGAAAUAGUCCUUGCGAGGAAAGUUGACGGUACUAUAUGAAUAAGCACCGGCUAACUCCGUGCCAGCAGCCGCGGUAAUACGGAGGGUGCAAGCGUUGUCCGGAUUUAUUGGGUUUAAAGGGUGCGUAGGCGGUUUAUUAAGUCAGUGGUGAAAGACGGUCGCUCAACGAUUGCAGUGCCAUUGAUACUGGUAGACUUGAGUAUGAUUGAGGUAGCUGGAAUGGAUAGUGUAGCGGUGAAAUGCAUAGAUAUUAUCCAGAACACCAAUUGCGUAGGCAAGUUACUAAGUCAUAACUGACGCUGAGGCACGAAAGUGUGGGUAUCAAACAGGAUUAGAUACCCUUGUAGUCCCUGAGCGGGCUGGCAAGGCGCAU